CGCGGGGUGGAGCAGUGGUAGCUCGUUGGGCUCAUAACCCAAAGGUCGGAGGUUCAAGUCCUUCCCCCGCAACCA
rnacentral:tRNA from 1 species